rnacentral:rRNA from 2 species
UACGGAGGGUGCAAGCGUUGUUCGGAUUUAUUGGGCGUAAAGCGCGUGUAGGCGGUUUCUUAAGUCUGAUGUGAAAGCCCUGGGCUCAACCCAGGAAGUGCAUUGGAUACUGGGAGACUUGAAUACGGGAGAGGGUAGUGGAAUUCCUAGUGUAGGAGUGAAAUCCGUAGAUAUUAGGAGGAACACCGGUGGCGAAGGCGGCUACCUGGACCGAUAUUGACGCUGAGACGCGAAAGCGUGGGGAGCAAACAGG